rnacentral:misc_RNA from 1 species
UAUCAUCUGGAAAAGCCUCUUCCUUUCAUUCUUACCAAACCCAAAGCGCGCACCAAAAUAAAAUGCUACAGCAAGCAACCAAGAAUCACUGUGAACUGCAACAAGUGACAACCAGUCCUUCUCUUGCAUCCCAUCUCUAGCAAAAUUUAUACCCAAAGCCGGCUCAGGAAGCUCAGGAGGCACCUCUUCCACGGGCAGGUUAACUUCCCAUGUCUCAUUUGGAAGUCCAUAUAGACACAGGUUCUCCUUUUCUGGGUCGCACUGUUGGUAAAACUUCUCAACAUCGGUGGUGAGAGCCCUGAUCAAGCCAUUGCGUCUGCCUUUGAAGUCGCUGAAAACUUCUUCAACGGUUCGAGGUAUUGCGUGCGGUAUUCCCUCCAUCCGCUUUCUUUCCCCUCUUCAAAAUAAGCCAAUUUUCAAUCUCUUCCCUGUUUCUCCCCCUCACUCUCUCUCUAUACAACGAUCAGCAUAACAAGUAUUUAUCUAUAUGUAAUUUUUCCAUAUAUGCAUAUAUGGAAAAAUUACAUAUAGAUAAAUACUUGUUAUGCUGAUCGUUGUAUAGAGAGAGAGUGAGGGGGAGAAACAGGGAAGAGAUUGAAAAUUGGCUUAUUUUGAAGAGGGGAAAGAAAGCGGAUGGAGGGAAUACCGCACGCAAUACCUCGAACCGUUGAAGAAGUUUUCAGCGACUUCAAAGGCAGACGCAAUGGCUUGAUCAGGGCUCUCACCACCGAUGUUGAGAAGUUUUACCAACAGUGCGACCCAGAAAAGGAGAACCUGUGUCUAUAUGGACUUCCAAAUGAGACAUGGGAAGUUAACCUGCCCGUGGAAGAGGUGCCUCCUGAGCUUCCUGAGCCGGCUUUGGGUAUAAAUUUUGCUAGAGAUGGGAUGCAAGAGAAGGACUGGUUGUCACUUGUUGCAGUUCACAGUGAUUCUUGGUUGCUUGCUGUAGCAUUUUAUUUUGGUGCGCGCUUUGGGUUUGGUAAGAAUGAAAGGAAGAGGCUUUUCCAGAUGAUA